UACGGAGGGGGCAAGCGUUGUUCGGAAUCAUUGGGCGUAAAGAGUAUGUAGGCGGCUAUUUAAGUCAGGCGUGUAAGCCCACGGCUCAACCGUGGAAUUGCGUUUGAAACUAUUUAGCUUGAGUACAGGAGAGGAAGGCGGAAUUCCCAGUGUAGCGGUGAAAUGCAUUGAUAUUGGGAAGAACACCGGUGGCGAAGGCAGCCCCCUAGGAUAACACUGACGCUCAUGAACGAAAGCGUGGGGAGCAAACAGG
rnacentral:rRNA from 1 species